AUUGAACGCUGGCGGCAGGCUUAACACAUGCAAGUCGAGCGGGGUGAUGGUGCUUGCACUAUCACUUAGCGGCGGACGGGUGAGUAACACGUGGGUCAUCUGCCCUCGGCACCGGAAUAGCCCGGGGAAACCCGGAUUAAUGCCGGAUGGCCCGCCCGCUCUUCGGGGCGGUCGGAAAAGGUAGCUUCGGCCUCCGGCCGAGGAUGAGCCCGCGGCGGAUUAGCUAGUCGGUGGGGUAAUGGCCCACCGAGGCGACGAUCCGUAGCUGGUCUGAGAGGACGAUCAGCCACACUGGGGCUAAGACACGGCCCAGACUCCGACGGGAGGCAGCAGUGGGGAAUCUUGCGCAAUGGGCGAAAGCCUGACGCAGCGACGCCGCGUGAGGGAAGAAGGCUUUCGGGUUGUAAACCUCUUUCAGGAGGGACGAAGCUACUCGGGUGAAUAGCCCAGAGGGUGACGGUACCUCCAGAAGAAGCCCCGGCUAACUACGUGCCAGCAGCCGCCGUAA
rnacentral:rRNA from 1 species